rnacentral:rRNA from 1 species
UACGGGGGGUGCGAGCGUUGUCCGGAAUCACUGGGCGUAAAGGGCGCGUAGGUGGCCUGAUAAGGGUGUGGUGAAAGUCCGGGGCUCAACCCCGGAUCUGCCGUGCCGACUGUUGGGCUGGAGUACUGUAGGGGCAGGCGGAAUUCCACGUGUAGCGGUGAAAUGCGUAGAGAUGUGGAGGAACACCAGUGGCGAAGGCGGCUUUCUGGUCUGUAACUGACGCUGAGGCGCGAAAGCGUGGGGAGCAAACAGG